rnacentral:rRNA from 1 species
CCUACGGGAGGCAGCAGUGAGGAAUAUUGGUCAAUGGGCGCGAGCCUGAACCAGCCAAGUAGCGUGAAGGAUGACGGCCCUACGGGUUGUAAACUUCUUUUAUAAAGGAAUAAAGUGAGGCACGGGUGCCUUUUUGUAUGUACGUUAUGAAUAAGGAUCGGCUAACUCCGUGCCAGCAGCCGCGGUAAUACGGAGGAUCCGAGCGUUAUCCGGAUUUAUUGGGUUGAAAGGGAGCGUAGAGGGGUUGUUAAGUCAGUUGUGAAAGUGUGCGGCUCAACCGUAAAAUUGCAAUUGAUACUGGCAGCCUUGCUUUCCGUUGAGGUAGGCGUACUUCGUGGUGUGCCGGUGAACUGCU